rnacentral:rRNA from 1 species
UGUUUAUCAAAAACAUCGCCUCUUGUCCCUCAGAAUAUAAGAGGUCCCSCCUSCCCUGUGRCUAUAUGUUUAACGGCCGCGGUAUYUUAACCGUGCGAAGGUAGSGUAAUCAGUUGUYUUUUAAAUGAAGACCUGUAUGAAUGGCAUCACGAGGGCUUAACUGUCUCCCCUCUCCAGUCAAUGAAAUUGACCUCCCCGUGCAGAGGCGGGGAUAUUUCUAUAAGACGAGAAGACCCUGUGGAGCUUUAGACCUAAAAUAAACCACGUUUAAUAUACUAAAAUUAAUAGCAAAAACUUAGUGGACAUUUAUUUAAGUGUCUUUGGUUGGGGCGACCGCGGAGUAAAACACAACCUCCAUGUGGACGGGGAUACUAUCCCUAAAACUCAGAGCCUCCACUCCAAGCAACAGAAAUUCUGACCUCACUGAUCCGGUACAGCCGAUUAACGAACCCAGUUACCCCAGGGAUAACAGCGCAAUCCCCUCUCARAGCUCAUAUCGACGAGGGGGUUUACGACCUCGAUGUUGGAUCAGGACAUCCUAGUGGUGCAGCCGCUAUUGAGGGUUCGUUUGUUCAACGAUUAAAGUCCUACGUGAUCUGA